UACGGAGGGUGCGAGCGUUGUCCGGAAUCAUUGGGCGUAAAGGGCGCGUAGGUGGCCUGGUCAGUUCGUGGUGAAAGCGCGGGGCUCAACUCCGCGUCGGCCAUGAAUACUGCUGGGCUUGAGCACUGUAGAGGCAGGCGGAAUUCCGGGUGUAGCGGUGGAAUGCGUAGAGAUCCGGAAGAACACCGGUGGCGAAGGCGGCCUGCUGGGCAGUGGCUGACACUGAGGCGCGACAGCGUGGGGAGCAAACGGG
rnacentral:rRNA from 1 species